UACGUAGGGUGCGAGCGUUAAUCGGAAUUACUGGGCGUAAAGCGUGCGCAGGCGGUGAUGUAAGACCGAUGUGAAAUCCCCGGGCUUAACCUGGGAACUGCAUCUGUGACUGCAUAGCUAGAGUACGGUAGAGGGGGAUGGAAUUCCGCGUGUAGCAGUGAAAUGCGUAGAUAUGCGGAGGAACACCGAUGGCGAAGGCAAUCCCCUGGACCUGUACUGACGCUCAUGCACGAAAGCGUGGGGAGCAAACAGG
rnacentral:rRNA from 1 species